GCUUGCCUGUGCACAAUCCACAGCAUCCAACCGCAGGAAACAGAGCACGGCACACAGGACCAUUCAAGCACUCAACCAGGAAGCGAAACCGACACCACCGCACCCGGAAAACCCGCCUUCUCUUCUGACACGCAGGUCUGCCUGGAGGCUCUGAUUGGCCAGUAAGUCUUGAAUAACUGUGCUGUGAAAAGUGCUGGAGUCCAUCUCUGGUGGGGUUCUGGAACCUGAAGACAGAUGUGUGGUCUCCGCAAAAGUGAGGACUCUGACUACCUGUUAGACCUUUCAACCAAGUGGCACUGAAUAGCUCGAGUCAUCUUUCUUUAAACAAUCUUUCUUUAAACAAUCACAAGCCUGCCCCCAGGAGCAGUGAUAUCAUUGGUUAUUCUACUUAAUGAAAUCAUAACAUCAGCAUUAUAAAAGCCCCAUCACUGUAAAAGCCCCCAAUAGUUUUCCUUCCUCCUUCCCAUCUUCUGCUAUCGAUUGAGGAAUGUAAGCUCCAGGGAUGUGGCAGACAGCAUCUGGUGUGCUCCAACUCAGAGAAGCCUUCGUGCAGCAAAAAAAGAUGUUACAGAUAUUUCCCUUAGCAAACAAGGAUCAGAAACUCUAUAUACAAUGCAGGAUUUUCACAUGCCUCUUUCUGCUCAUUUAUGAUACAAACUGUUAAAUGGUUGUUGCUUCCCUCGAUGAGUUAUUCUGAUUAAAGAUUAUCUGGAAAU
ensembl:antisense C030010L15Rik RIKEN cDNA C030010L15 gene